UCCGGGCAAGCACUGCUAUCGAGUAGGUGGCAUCGUGGUGGUGGUGGUGGUGGUAGUGGUGGAGGUGGUGGUGUUAGGCGUCGUCCGGGACCGAGGAGAAAGAGAGAGAAAGCGAGAGAGAGAGAAAGAGAGAUUCCUCCGAAAGAGAGAGAGAGAGAGAACCGCCAUCGAAUACCGCUGCCGCCGCCGUCGUCAUCAUCGUCAUCGUAGUCGUAGUCGCGGUCGUUAUUGUUGCCAUCUUCGUGUUCUUCGUUACCGUCGUGCUGCCGCCGUUGAGGCGGUACGUCGCCGUUGCGCGCUCGAUGCCGAAGCGGCGACAUCUGUUCCCUUGCAUUGCCUCCGCCACGCACCUGGCCGCGGAUUAUCCGGAAAUCAGCGAUCGCCCGUCCCCAUCCACCGAGGAAACCCGCCCUUUACGUACGUAAAAGGACGAGAGCGGAACGCGUGUACGCGGCGUCGAGAACCGAGCAACCAAGAGGAAUCGAACGGGCGCUCGCUCGCUCGCGCGCGCGCGCGCGCGCGCGAUGAUUCUGCACCGCUUAGGACUGUUUCAUGAGUGCGAAUGAGAUGGGCGAACUGAUAGAGUGAAAACGCACUCUCAGGUGUACACACAUACACGCGUGCGACGCGCGUGCGUGUCGGACCGCCGUCGUCGGUGAGAACGACAGGAUUGUUUGAAGAAAAAGAGCAGCGAGAAUCGCCGAGUUGUGAUGUUGGGCCUCGCGGCACCGCCGGAUUCCUCGUGGUGAUCAAGUGCUCCGCUACGUAUAGAGUGCGUUUGCGAGGGGAAGAGAAAGAGCAAGAGAAAAGAAGAGACAGAGAGGAACGACGCGCCGGUCGCGAGUGUGCGGCGCGAUCGGAGUCACGAGGCGACCCGGAAUAACGAUAUAAUAGCAGGCCCGCCGGCCGUAUGUGAGUGUGUAUUCGCCGCUUGGAACACGAGGAACGUGUCGAGAACAGGGGAUCCCGAGUGACGUUGGGGGGGCGCGUGCAGAGCUGACUUUGUCCCCUCCCCCCCAUCCUUGCGUCUAUAAUCGGCAUCUUUGAAGGCUCACCGCAGUGCCGAAGAAGAGGAUCGCUCGCCGAUUUUGCGGUGUGGUCUAGGCCUGGGAGAGGCUCAAGGAAGAAGCCACCUCCGCCACAAUCGCCGGACAGCGCGGAAGAG